AGUGAACGCUGGCGGUAGGCCUAACACAUGCAAGUCGAACGGCAGCACAGUAAGAGCUUGCUCUUACGGGUGGCGAGUGGCGGACGGGUGAGGAAUACAUCGGAAUCUACUUUUUCGUGGGGGAUAACGUAGGGAAAUUUACGCUAAUACCGCAUACGACCUACGGGUGAAAGCAGGGGAUCUUCGGACCUUGCGCGAUUGAAUGAGCCGAUGUCGGAUUAGCUAGUUGGCGGGGUAAAGGCCCACCAAGGCGACGAUCCGUAGCUGGUCUGAGAGGAUGAUCAGCCACACUGGAACUGAGACACGGUCCAGACUCCUACGGGAGGCAGCAGUGGGGAAUAUUGGACAAUGGGCGCAAGCCUGAUCCAGCCAUACCGCGUGGGUGAAGAAGGCCUUCGGGUUGUAAAGCCCUUUUGUUGGGAAAGAAAAGCAGCAGGUUAAUACCCCGCUGUUCUGACGGUACCCAAAGAAUAGGCACCGGCUAACUUCGUG
rnacentral:rRNA from 1 species